AAUACAGAUUGAGAAAUAGCAGUAGGUAAUAUAAAUUAAUAAACGUAUAUGGGCAAUCCAAGUUUCUUCACAACGCCUGUCACGUACGCUCACAUUAUUUUAACUAAAAACACAAUAUUGCUGAACAUUGUUUUUAAUUCAAGACAUGUUUUGGAGAAAAACAUCAUCACCUCUGCACAUUCUGUUCAAGGUUGAUAGAAUUUUGUUGAACAACGAACACACGAUACAAGAUAGUACUACAACAAUCAUAAUACCAUCACCUAGGUAUUUGAGUACCUACAUACACAUAAAAGCAUUUUGGUAUCUUCUUGUUAUAUCACACCUUAAUUACUCAAUUAGUUAACAAUUAAACCAUUUUUUGUAAUGCAGAUUAAGGUUGAUACUAUGUACCAUAAUAAAGUUCAGUAUUCAAAACAUCAUAUUACAUCACGCAUGAUUUAAUUUAUAUGGAAUAAAUGGAACAUUAAGAACAACUUUAAAUGGAAUAUCUUCUUUUAUCCAAAAAAGAAGCUACUUCAAAGUGAUUGGUGCGUAAUCCCAACUAAUAUUAUAAAUGCGAAUGUGACUUUGUUUGUUACUAUUUCACGCCUUAAUUACUCAACCUAACAUCAUAAAAUUUCACACAUACAUUAUCAGGAGUACAGAAAAGGACAUGGGGUACCCUUUAUCCAGAAAAAAUAUACUAUUCCUGAGGGAUAUAAAGAUUAUUUUCAUGUGGCCGUCGAUGAUUUUUGACAGUAUGUACUCUGAUGACUUUUCGUUAAUAUAAAUUCCUCCUACAUGUACAGCUAAAACAAUUAGCUAACAAAAGCAAGAUAUAAAAGAGAACGUAAUAUGUUAGGACUCUAAAAACCUUUCCUGCAUUAUAAUGACCUUUCAUGAAGGAAUAGUAAAAAUUGGCAAAAUAGGAGGGACGCUGCAGUUCAGCGUUACGGUCCUAUUACGAAGGGGUCAAAAUUUGCGUUACCGAACGAUUUUAAAACCGGGAACUGCACCUUAACGUAAUAUGAA